rnacentral:rRNA from 1 species
GACAGAGGGGGCAAGCGUUGCUCGGAAUUACUGGGCGUAAAGGGCGCGUAGGCGGGAUGGCAAGUCGGUCGUGAAAUCCCUCGGCUCAACCGAGGAACGUCGAUCGAUACUGCUGUUCUUGAGGAUUGCAGAGGAGACUGGAAUUCCCGGUGUAGCGGUGAAAUGUGUAGAGAUCGGGAGGAACGACCGGUGGCGAAGGCGGGUCUCUGGGCAAUUCCUGACGCUGAGGCGCGAAAGCGUGGGAGCAAGCGGG